UAGGGAAUCUUCGGCAAUGGACGCAAGCCUGACGGAGCAACGCCGCGUGAGUGAAGAAGGAUUUCGGUUCGUAAAACUCUGUUGUUAGAGAAGAACAACGCAUAGAAUAACUGGUAUACGUGGGACGGGAUCUAACCAGAAAGCCACGGCUAACUACGUUCCAGCAGCCGCGGUAAUACGUAGGUGGCCAGCGUUGUCCGGAUUUAUUGGGCGUAAAGCGAGCGCAGGCGGUCAAUUAAGUCUGAUGUGAAAGCCCCCGGCUCAACCGGGGAGGGUCAUUGGAAACUGGUUGACUUGAGUGCAGAAGAGGAGAGUGGAAUUCCAUGUGUAGCGGUGAAAUGCGUAGAUAUAUGGAGGAACACCGGUGGCGAAGGCGACUCUCUGGUCUGUAACUGACGCUGAGGCUCGAAAGCGUGGGUAGCAAACAGG
rnacentral:rRNA from 1 species